AUUGAACGCUGGCGGCAGGCCUAACACAUGCCAGUCGAGCGGAUGAAGGGAGCUUGCUCCUGGAUUCAGCGGCGGACGGGUGAGUAAUGCCUAGGAAUCUGCCUGGUAGUGGGGGAUAACGUCCGGAAACGGGCGCUAAUACCGCAUACGUCCUGAGGGAGAAAGUGGGGGAUCUUCGGACCUCACGCUAUCAGAUGAGCCUAGGUCGGAUUAGCUAGUUGGUGGGGUAAAGGCCUACCAAGGCGACGAUCCGUAACUGGUCUGAGAGGAUGAUCAGUCACACUGGAACUGAGACACGGUCCAGACUCCUACGGGAGGCAGCAGUGGGGAAUAUUGGACAAUGGGCGAAAGCCUGAUCCAGCCAUGCCGCGUGUGUGAAGAAGGUCUUCGGAUUGUAAAGCACUUUAAGUUGGGAGGAAGGGCAGUAAGUUAAUACCUUGCUGUUUUGACGUUACCAACAGAAUAAGCACCGACUAACUUCGUG
rnacentral:rRNA from 1 species